UCGAACGAGACUUUUUAUUUGAUGCUUGCAUCUUUUAAAAAGUUGAGCCGUUAACGGGUGAGUAACACGUGGGUAACCUACCUUAAAGUGGGGGAUAACACUUGGAAACAGGUGCUAAUACCGCAUAACCAUCAAAACCGCCUGGUUUUGAUGUUAAAGAUGGUUCUGCUAUCGCUUUAAGAUGGACCCGCGGCGUAUUAGCUAGUUGGUGAGGUAACGGCUUACCAAGGCAAUGAUACGUAGCCGAACUGAGAGGUUGAUCGGCCACAUUGGGACUGAGACACGGCCCAAACUCCUACGGGAGGCAGCAGUAGGGAAUCUUCCACAAUGGACGAAAGUCUGAUGGAGCAACGCCGCGUGAGUGAAGAAGGUUUUCGGAUCGUAAAACUCUGUUGUCAGAGAAGAACGUGUGUGAGAGUAACUGUUCACGCAGUGACGGUAUCUGACCAGAAAGUCACGGCUAACUACGUGCCAGCAGCCGCGGUAAUACGUAGGUGGCAAGCGUUGUCCGGAUUUAUUGGGCGUAAAGGGAACGCAGGCGGUCUUUUAAGUCUGAUGUGAAAGCCUUCGGCUUAACCGAAGUCGGGCAUUGGAAACUGGGAGACUUGAGUGCAGAAGAGGAGAGUGGAACUCCAUGUGUAGCGGUGAAAUGCGUAGAUAUAUGGAAGAACACCAGUGGCGAAAGCGGCUCUCUGGUCUGUAACUGA
rnacentral:rRNA from 1 species